UAACUCACUUGGUAGAGCAUGGCGCUUGCAACACCAGGGUUGUGGGUUCAAUUCCCAC
rnacentral:tRNA from 1 species